GGGCUAUUAGCGCAGUCAGGUAGCGCAACAGGCUCUUAACCUGCAGGUCGUGGGUUCGACUCCCACAUAGCCCG
rnacentral:tRNA from 1 species